GGAGAUUUAGCUCAGUGGCAUAAGCAUCUGCUUGGCAAGUACAAGGUUGUGAGUUCAGUCCCCAUUAUCCCCC
rnacentral:tRNA from 1 species